UACAGCCGUCUGAAGUCUAACCAGACAUCAGAGGCAUGUUUCAGGGGGUGUCAACAUUCCUUACCCUUUGAAAGAAUUAAAACAAAACCAAAACGGAGGCAGAUUUAUCCCCAAACCAAAGAAGGGUGAACAGGCAUGGGGCUAAAGUGCGAGAGAGGGAGCGAACAGUGGAAACUCAGGGAAGGCUUAACAAUAGAACUUUGUGGGCUGAAGCCUGCUAGAGUGGAACUGGAUUUAUUUGUUGAACUAGGAAGGGACCUCUGGGCUCUUUGAAGGUUAGAGCAAACAAGCAAAACUGGUGGGCAUUUGGUUUACUAUGAGAAGAGCGGUCAAGUCAAGGAGGCUGUUAUUGACAGGCACAGAGCACGCUGUGUCGGGAUGGGCCUCUGCUUAACACUUGGCCUGGCUGCUCCAGGAGGGGCCCAGGAGGAGGGGACACCUUCUCCCAAUGCACAGCUUUGGGGGCCCUCUGAAUCUCCAUGUUAAGGAUGCAGACUGGGUUUCCUAAGGACACCAGCCCAAGCCCCAGAGGAGUCCUUUAGAAGACAAGGACUUCUCUAGGCCCUCGGGUGAGUGGACCCACCGGAGUCAUCAUGAGUCUUAUAAACAGCCCUGCUACUGUGUCACUGCCACAUCCCUGUGCUUGACACAGGAAACACCAGGGGGACCCACUCUAAUGGACUUGGUUUUACAGGUCUGUUGGCUGAGGCUAAAAGGCUCACUUGGAGCCCUGGGGCAGAGCAGCAAAAUUUGCAAAUGCAGCCUAAAAAUCCUCCUCCAACCACCAGAAAAGAAAGGGGUAUGUUUCUUCCUUCAGCUGAAACCUGGCCUUGGAAGAGAUGGUUGCCACCCCCAUGCAGUUGCCCCUCUCCCUGCCUGCACCCCACUUUUCAUUCUAUACUCACAUUCCUCAAGUGCCUCUCCCCAGGCUGCAAGAGGGAUUCCUACUAGUGAACUCCAGGGAGCUUGGCCAUUUCCCUGCAGGUCUCUGGCUUGACAUGGUACUGACUGAUCAAAAGCCGAUGCCCAUCUGGCAGUUGCUUUAAGUCCUAUGUGUGGGGAGCUGGUUGCUGGUGCUGGCAUGUGCCAGGCAGUCCAUGAGUAGCCAUCUUGUCCUUCCCACUUCCCUGCUCCAGGGGCCAUCCCACUGUGUGGAUGAAGCAUAGGAAAGGCGUGGGGAGCCCUGAACUGUGGCCAGAUACCUCAGGAGAUUUCGGAAUCCAGGCUUCCUGAAUCUUCCCUUCAGUCUGAAAAAUACACGUGUCCCCUCAAAUUGCUAGCAGAGGGCAGAUCCUUGAAGAUGCUCGACCUCAGAUAGAGAUGAAGAAAAUAACCAAGAUGAGGUUCCUAAGAGUUAAGCAGCUCAGCCAAGGUCACACAAGUUCAAGUCCAAGGCUGGAAUUUCUAUAUAAGACCUCUGGCUCCCCAGUGAUGAUUGAGGCUUUUCCUCAAUCUUCCAACUGCUAAUAACUGAGACAGUUAUUUCCUUUCACUGUUCAAUGAAGCCUUCUACCAACUAUUAGCCUGUAUUGCUGCUGCCUGUAUGAAAUUUGGAAAGAACAACUGAUCUAUGGUUACUGAGGAAUUUCCAAUUUUGCUGCUUUAAAUAAGUGCUUAUACUCAGAAAUAAGAAUCACCCCUCACCCUGAUUUCUUCAUUUGUCACUUCUGUUUACAAAAGGGAUUCACACCUGCAAAUGGCUGUCAUGGUGGCAACUCUGGGUGAUAUGUUCUUUUGGGUGGGGCUCCUGUGCCCUAGAAAAGUUCAAGGAUACCUUUUGGCUAAAGCCGACAGUGGAAACAAUGUGAAGGAGGCACCCUACCUCCCAGCUUGAUGAGAUGGGUGGCUUUAUUCUCAUCGCCUUCUGCUGGGGAAGGGGCUGCUCAAGGGGCUAUUUGCUUCUUAGUUGUUCCCCACUGGAGGCAACAGACACCUCAGAAAUAACUCUGACCUGAAUGGGACGGGAAGCAGUCACUGGCUUAUCCCUCUGUUUCUGAGACUAGGUUUGCCUUGGAUACUUUGAAGUUCAUCUUUGAUGCUUGAAGAUUGAGGAAAUUACCAUUGCUCAUUGGUAAAAAGAGAAAAAAAGAUCCUGGACAUGGUGUGGUAACUAGAGAAAGUGGAAAGGAAGCUGAACAAGGAGUUGUCCUAUGUGACCUUGAACAAGCCAUUGUAGCUCUCUGGGCCUGAGUCCUCUCCUCUGGAAAGCCUAGGAGUUGGACAUGAUUUCUGAGGUCGAUUCCAGAUCGGAUAUCCCACAAGGCAAUGAGUUUUUGCUUUCUGGACCUCUCCCAUCUUCAGUCAGGUGUGAGAUCCUUGAUCCAAGGGAGAAAUGUUAAGAAAGAUAUUUUUGAGAUAAUUGUGGAAAUCUAUAGAUCUCAUAAUGGCAUUAUUGAUAAUUUUUCAGAUUUGAUAGUAGCAUUGUGGUUUUAUAAAAGAAAGUCCUUACUGCUAGGACAAACAUGCUGAGGUAUUAGUGUGAGUGACAUGAUGUUUGCAACUCACCUUCAAGUGACUUAGGGGAAAAAAAGUGAAUGUACCAGAAUGUUAGUGGUUCAUUAAUAAAGGUGGGGUGUAUCAAUUUUUUGUUAGCUAAUAACUCAACUUUUCUGUAGAUGAAAACUUUUAAAAUAAAAAGACAGGUCAAAAAGAGUA